GACGAACGCUGGCGGCGUGCUUAACACAUGCAAGUCGAGCGGGAAACUUCGGUUUCCAGCGGCGGACGGGUGAGUAACACGUGGGCAACCUGCCUCACAAUGAGGGAUAGCCUUCCGAAAGUAAGAUUAAUACCUCAUAACACAAGAGAAACGCAUGUUUCUCUUGCCAAAGAAUUUCGUUGUGAGAUGGGCCCGCGGCGCAUUAGCUUGUUGGUGAGGUAACGGCCCACCAAGGCUUCGAUGCGUAGCCGACCUGAGAGGGUGAUCGGCCACAUUGGAACUGAGACACGGUCCAGACUCCUACGGGAGGCAGCAGUGGGGAAUAUUGCACAAUGGAGGAAACUCUGAUGCAGCAACGCCGCGUGAGUGAUGAAGGUCUUCGGAUUGUAAAGCUCCGUCUUCUGGGACGAUAAUGACGGUACCAGAGGAGGAAGCCACGGCUAACUACGUGCCAGCCGCCGCCGUAACAC
rnacentral:rRNA from 1 species